GUAGUCCACGCCCUAAACGAUGAUCACUAGACGUCAGAAAGCCUAAUCUUUUUGGUGUCGUAGCUAACGCGUUAAGUGAUCCGCCUGGGAAGUACGGUCGCAAGAUUAAAACUCAAAGAAAUUGACGGGGGCCCGCACAAGCGGUGGAGUAUGUGGUUUAAUUCGAUGCUACGCGAAAAACCUUACCUGGGCUUGACAUCCCGCGCUACCCUUGGAAACAGGGGGUUCCCUUCGGGGACGCGGAGACAGGUGCUGCAUGGCUGUCGUCAGCUCGUGUUGUGAGAUGUUGGGUUAAGUCCCGCAACGAGCGCAACCCUCGCAUUUAGUUACCAUCAUUAAGUUGGGCACUCUAAAUGUACCGCUUGGCUAUAAGCCAGA
rnacentral:rRNA from 1 species